rnacentral:lncRNA from 1 species
AGGGGCUGGCUAGAGCGACGGUAUUGGCCACUUACCGCUGCUGGGGAAGAACCUCUCUCUGCCCCCGGCUCUCAGUCUCCCAUCCUCCAGGCAGCCCCUGCUCCCUCCUUGUGGGGCUCAGCGAAUCGCGGAGUUCUUGUCCAACAAUCCAGAGGGAGCCCUCCGGCUCGCCCUGCCUCCGCGGCGCUCAGGGCUGGAGAAGCGAUACAGAGGGAAGCAUUUUAACAUUCUGUGAAAUCCUACAGGAGAUCAUGGAAGCUAGCCUUACAAUAUACACUACACAGCUAUGGUUGAUACAGGUAUGUGGGGCUUGACAUGAAUGUCACUGGAGUCAAUGGAAGACUCCUGUUAACUUCAGUGGGCUAUGAAUCAGAGCCCUAAUUACCUGCAAAUUAGCUGGUAGGUUCUAGGAGUUCUGCAGAGCAUUUAUGCUCGGUAAAUGGGGAAAGGGCUCUUUACUUCAUUCUGUAGUGACCUCCAUUUUUGAAGUAAUCACUGAGAAAGGUGUAUAGCUCUCCUGCCAGAGAAUAAGUCACCACACCAUGGAACUUGGAAGAUAGCAGGAAGUAAGAAGAAUUGAAGGAUCCCCAAAGAAUCUUCUCUCAAAGAGUCUACUCUUUGUUUCCUGCAUGUUCUAUAGUUUCCUUCAGAGGGAUCUGGUGAACUAAACUGAAAGCUCUGUGUGACGUUGCACUCCAUAUGUUUUAUGGAAAUAUGCUUAUGAGUGUGAAUAUGAUGUAACUGGAAUAUGCUUUAUGCAAAAGGUCUCUUGAAAGGUAUCAUAACAAAGGUUAUAAACUACUGAAUAUAUUCCUCCUAUUUGUAUGCAUGUAUCAUUCUUGUAUCUGAAGCUAGAAAUAUGAAGUAUAACUCUGAGGUCCUAUUGUAAUUAUGCAAAGUGUGGGCCAUUAAUGGUGGUUUAGAAUCUUGAUGGCUCCCAUUGACUAGGACAGUUGGUUGUAAAUGGUUUAUUUACCUGCAAACCUUCCUGUGUACGUGUGGGCCAACCCAGGAAGAAUGAAGACUAGGGGUCUUACAGUGACAUGUGACCAUGUUACAUGAUACUGGGAAUCCAUCUUAAUCUUUGUAUUUUUCCAUUGAUGAGGCAGGGGUGGGGACAAGC